GAAACAACCCAGACCGCCAGCUAAGGUCCCAAAGUCAUGGUUAAGUGGGAAACGAUGUGGGAAGGCCCAGACAGCCAGGAUGUUGGCUUAGAAGCAGCCAUCAUUUAAAGAAAGCGUAAUAGCUCACUGGUCGAGUCGGCCUGCGCGGAAGAUGUAACGGGGCUAAACCAUGCACCGAAGCUGCGGCAGCGACACUGUGUGUUGUUGGGUAGGGGAGCGUUCUGUAAGCCUGUGAAGGUGUGUCGUGAGGCAUGCUGGAGGUAUCAGAAGUGCGAAUGCUGACAUAAGUAACGAUAAAGCGGGUGAAAAGCCCGCUCGCCGGAAGACCAAGGGUUCCUGUCCAACGUUAAUCGGGGCAGGGUGAGUCGACCCCUAAGGCGAGGCCGAAAGGCGUAGUCGAUGGGAAACGGGUUAAUAUUCCCGUACUUGGUGUUACUGCGAAGGGGGGACGGAGAAGGCUAUGUUGGCCGGGCGACGGUUGUCCCGGUUUAAGCGUGUAGGUGUGUGUUCCAGGUAAAUCCGGUUCACUUUAACACUGAGGCGUGACGACGAGGCACUACGGUGCUGAAGCAACAAAUGCCCUGCUUCCAGGAAAAGCCUCUAAGCAUCAGGUAACAUCAAAUCGUACCCCAAACCGACACAGGUGGUCAGGUAGAGAAUACCAAGGCGCUUGAGAGAACUCGGGUGAAGGAACUAGGCAAAAUGGUGCCGUAACUUCGGGAGAAGGCACGCUGACACGUAGGUGAAGUGAUUUACUCAUGGAGCUGAAGUCAGUCGAAGAUACCAGCUGGCUGCAACUGUUUAUUAAAAACACAGCACUGUGCAAACACGAAAGUGGACGUAUACGGUGUGACGCCUGCCCGGUGCCGGAAGGUUAAUUGAUGGGGUCAGCGCAAGCGAAGCUCCUGAUCGAAGCCCCGGUAAACGGCGGCCGUAACUAUAACGGUCCUAAGGUAGCGAAAUUCCUUGUCGGGUAAGUUCCGACCUGCACGAAUGGCGUAAUGAUGGCCAGGCUGUCUCCACCCGAGACUCAGUGAAAUUGAACUCGCUGUGAAGAUGCAGUGUACCCGCGGCAAGACGGAAAGACCCCGUGAACCUUUACUAUAGCUUGACACUGAACAUUGAGCCUUGAUGUGUAGGAUAGGUGGGAGGCUUUGAAGUGUGGACGCCAGUCUGCAUGGAGCCGACCUUGAAAUACCACCCUUUAAUGUUUGAUGUUCUAACGUGGACCCGUUACCCGGGUUGCGGACAGUGUCUGGUGGGUAGUUUGACUGGGGCGGUCUCCUCCUAAAGAGUAACGGAGGAGCACGAAGGUUGGCUAAUCCUGGUCGGACAUCAGGAGGUUAGUGCAAUGGCAUAAGCCAGCUUGACUGCGAGCGUGACGGCGCGAGCAGGUGCGAAAGCAGGUCAUAGUGAUCCGGUGGUUCUGAAUGGAAGGGCCAUCGCUCAACGGAUAAAAGGUACUCCGGGGAUAACAGGCUGAUACCGCCCAAGAGUUCAUAUCGACGGCGGUGUUUGGCACCUCGAUGUCGGCUCAUCACAUCCUGGGGCUGAAGUAGGUCCCAAGGGUAUGGCUGUUCGCCAUUUAAAGUGGUACGCGAGCUGGGUUUAGAACGUCGUGAGACAGUUCGGUCCCUAUCUGCCGUGGGCGCUGGAGAACUGAGGGGGGCUGCUCCUAGUACGAGAGGACCGGAGUGGACGCAUCACUGGUGUUCGGGUUGUCAUGCCAAUGGCACUGCCCGGUAGCUAAAUGCGGAAGAGAUAAGUGCUGAAAGCAUCUAAGCACGAAACUUGCCCCGA
rnacentral:rRNA from 2 species